UUCCGGUUGAUCCUGCCGGAGGUCACUGCUAUUGGGAUUCGACUAAGCCAUGCGAGUCGAGAGGGUUCGGCCCUCGGCUGACGGCUCAGUAACACGUGGAUAAUCUGCCCUUAGGUGGAGGAUACUCUCGGGAAACUGAGAAUAAUACUCCAUAGGCCUAGGAUGCUGGAAUGCAUCUAGGCUCAAAGUUCCGGCGCCUAAGGAUGAGUCUGCGGACUAUCAGGUUGUAGUCAGGGUAAUGACCUGACUAGCCUACGACGGAUACGGGUUGUGAGAGCAAUAACCCGGAGAUGAUAUCUGAGACACGAUAUCAGGCCCUACGGGGCGCAGCAGGCGCGAAAACUUCACAAUGUGCGAAAGCACGAUGAGGGAAUCCCAAGUGCUUGCUCGUAAGAGUAAACUGUUUCUAUGUUUAAAACGCAUGGAGAGUAAGAGCUGGGUAAGACGGGUGCCAGCCGCCGCGGUAAUACCUGCAGCUCGAGUGGUGGCCGCUAUUAUUGGGCCUAAAACGUCCGUAGCCGGUUUAAUAAAUGCCCGGGUAAAUCGUGUAGCUUAACUAUACGAAUUCCGGGUAGACUGCUAAACUUGAGACCGGGAGAAGCUAGAGGUACUCCUGGGGUAGAGGUGAAAUUCUGUAAUCCUAGGGGGACCACCAGUGGCGAAGGCGUCUGGCUAGAACGGGUCUGACGGUGAGGGACGAAGCCCUGGGGCGCAAACCGGAUUAGAUACCCGGGUAGUCCCAGCUGUAAACGAUGCGGGCUAGGUGUUGAGGUGGCUACGAGCCACUUCAGUGCCGCAGGAAGCCAUUAAGCCCGCCGCCUGGGGAGUACGGCCGCAAGGCUGAAACUUAAAGGAAUUGGCGGGGAGCACCCACAAGGCGUGAAGCUUGCGGUUCAAUUGGAGUCAACGCCGGA
rnacentral:rRNA from 1 species